rnacentral:rRNA from 1 species
UACGUAGGGUCCGAGCGUUGUCCGGAUUUAUUGGGCGUAAAGAGCUCGUAGGCGGUUCCGUAAGUCAGAUGUGAAAACUCAGGGCUCAACCCGGAGACGCCAUCUGAUACUGCGGUGACUGGAGUCUGGUAGGGGAACACGGAAUUCCUGGUGUAGCGGUGAAAUGCGCAGAUAUCAGGAGGAACACCGGUGGCGAAGGCGGUUCUCUGGGCCUUACCUGACGCUGAGGAGCGAAAGCGUGGGGAGCGAACAGG